GUGAAGCUUAUGUGUAUUCGAAUUGCGAAAAUGCAGUCUCUACGCCUAGAAUGGAGAGCCGUCCCUCGCAGACAUUCUUGAAGUGAAGUAUCAAGAUUUCAAGUUCGCAUCUAAAUUAAUCAAAUCGUAUCAAAAUUGCGUCCUCGAAUCCUCCACAGGCCACAGGAGGAGGAGGAGGAUCUGACAGGGUAAACGAAUAGUGCUCGACUUUCGAUCGAAACUCUCUAAAUCAAUCAAGUGGAAAAUUGCAUUUCGGAAAGAAUAUAUUUCGUAAAUAAAAAGGAGAAUAUCAAAGUAUAGAA